CCUGCGCUCUGCCAGCGCCGCCCUGGUUUUCCUGGUGGUGUCGCCGGCCGCCAUCGCCGCCAGCCAGGAGGGGCCGACCGUCAGCGCCUUCACCUUCAGCCUCAUCCUCAUCGCCAUAUUUGCCUACGACGCCUUCAGCACCUACUGGGCUGAGAUCAGGCCAGAGCCAGCCCAGGAUGGCAACGGGAACCUGGCAUAAGAGGAAAAUCACCCCCGGCUGGGGACAGAAAUAAUCCCCCUGAUCUCCCCCCUCAACAAUGCUGGUGCCCCUCACUCCUAACCCGCAGCCCCUGCCCCCCC